UACGAAGGGGGCUAGCGUUGCUCGGAAUCACUGGGCGUAAAGCGCACGUAGGCGGAUUGCUAAGUCAGGGGUGAAAUCCUGGAGCUCAACUCCAGAACUGCCUUUGAUACUGGCGAUCUUGAGUCCGGGAGAGGUGAGUGGAACUGCGAGUGUAGAGGUGAAAUUCGUAGAUAUUCGCAAGAACACCAGUGGCGAAGGCAGCUCACUGGCCCGAUACUGACGCUGAGGCACGAAAGCGUGGGGAGCAAACAGG
rnacentral:rRNA from 1 species